GGGGAUUUAGCUCAGCGGCAUAAGCACCUGCCUUGCAAGCAGGUGGUCGUGAGUUCGAUUCUCAGUACCGA
rfam:Cavia porcellus supercont2_90 genomic scaffold, whole genome shotgun sequence.